UAUAUAUAUAUAUAUAUAUAUAAAAUAUGAAUAUAUGAAUCAUGUUUGUUUAAAAUGAAAGUUAAGUUUAGGCUAGGACACCAGAGUGCUGUACGUUGUGUGUAAAGAUAUUUUUUGUAAUUGUGUUAUUACGUUCGCGCUUGUUUACCAUCCGGUAAAUCGUCCGGGCGAUCUCAAAGCCGCUCUGUUCUCGACGUAUGGAGUUUAGAUUUAUUCAGACGUGCCGUUUUAAACGUUUUCUCUCUCUUUCUUUUUCUCCCCUUCGCGAUUCCUUUCUGGGUUUUUUUGUUUGUUUGUUUGUUUUCUCGGGCAAACAUGUCACUUUGUUGAUUUUACAAGCCAAAGACGAGGAUCGCCGUCAGAUAAUCCCGAACGCUCUUUUAUCAACUCAACCGCUGUAGAUAGAUCCAGUGUUCUUGUGGAAAAGGAACAGGAAGUCCACUUCUCCUGCUUUUCCACUUCCUGCCACAGAGCCGAGCUGUAGAUGGUCAUAUCACAGGUGCGUGUGCGUUGUUUUGUUUUUUUUUCUUUACCCCCCCCCCCCCCCCCCAAAAAAAAUCACGUCUCUCGGGUGCGUUUUCUUACUUCGUCCUGUUAAUCAUCACUGUCCUUUUAAAGAGAAGAGCUUAAGCGAUUAAAUCCUGUUAAAUCUGUUUUUUUUUUUUUUUUUUUUUUUUUUUUAAAUAUCUCCACUUGUUUUGGCUAAUGAAUCAAAUGUUCUGCUUUCUAGAAUUCGAGACUGUAUUUUGUAAAAAGCUGAAGAAAGAUGUACUGUUCAUCUUUUAUUUUCUGGACUUCGAUUGAGUAGUGUUUGUUUUUUUUUGGAUUUAGUUUUUUUUUUUUCUUCCUAGCUCAUUCCGGUUUUCUCCUCGACUUCUUCUUUUGGAGGGACAUUUAAUUUUGUGUAAAUAACUUGGUAUCCAUUAAUAUGAUAACCAUUAAAAGGCUGUUCCAGUAUUCUGAGACUCUGAGAAGUAAAAAAAAAAAAAAAAAAAAAAAAAAAAAAAGGCUGUUUGUGUCUCGUUGUUUUUGUUUUUUUUUUUUUGUUAUUCUAGUCAUUGAAUUUUCUGAACUGCAAUUUUUUUUUUCUUUUUUUUUUUUUUUUUUUAAAGAAAAAGAAAUUUUCCCUGAGGGUACAGACAAGCAAAAAAUAAAGUGAUUGAAUGAAUGAAUAAAUAAAGAAUUAGAGCUUAAUUGGAUUUGUUUUUCUGACGAGCCACUGUGUUUAUAAUGAGGAAAAGGUCGGCGGUUGUACGGCACGCUUUUGAGUCAGAUCCAC
ensembl:lncRNA